ACACGACUACAUUAGAUAUCCCCUGUAGUCCUAGCCGUAAACGAUACUCGCUAGGUGUCGGCCACGGUGCGACCGUUGUCGGUGCCGUAGGGAAAGCCGUGAAGCGAGCCACCUGGGAAGUACGGCCGCAAGGCUGAAACUUAAGGAAUUGGCGGGGGAGCACCACAACGGGUGGAGCCUGCGGUUUAAUUGGACUCAACGCCGGGAAGCUCACCGGAUAAGACAGCGGAAUGAUUGCCGGGCUGAAGACCCUGCAUGACCAGCUG
rnacentral:rRNA from 1 species